UAGAUGUCUUUCACAUCCAACCGAUGAACCUAUUAUAAUUUAAAUAAUUUAAAAAUGGCAGUUCCAAAAAGCGCACCUCGAGUUCAAAAAACGUAUUCGUAAAAAUAUUUGGAAAAGGAAAGGGUAUUGGGCAGCAUUGAAAGCUUUUUCGUUAGCGAAAUCGCUUUCUACCGGUAACUCAAAAAGUUUUUUUGUGUGACAAAUAAAUAAUCAAACAAUAGACUAAAUAAUGUGAAUCGGUCUAAUUUUUGUUAGAAUGUAUUUCUAAGG
rnacentral:lncRNA from 1 species